GCAGUGGACAUGGAGGUAAGAGCAGUGGACAUGGAGGUAAGAGCAGUGGACACGGCCAGGUAAGAGCUACUGCAGCAGCUCCAUUGCAUGCA